UACGUAGGGUGCAAGCGUUGUCCGGAAUUAUUGGGCGUAAAGAGCUCGUAGGCGGUCUGUCGCGUCGAAUGUGAAAACCCGGGGCUCAACCCCGGGCCUGCAUUCGAUACGGGCAGACUAGAGUUCGGUAGGGGAGUCUGGAAUUCCUGGUGUAGCGGUGAAAUGCGUAGAUAUCGGGAGGAACACCAGAGGCGAAGGCGGGUUACUGGGCUGAUACUGACGCUGAUGCGCGAAAGCCAGGGGAGCAAACGGG
rnacentral:rRNA from 1 species